CUACGGGUCGCAGCAGCUGAGGAUCUUUUACAAUGCACGAAAGUGUGAUAAAGCGAGCCAGAGUGUUGUUCUUAGAACAACUUUUGUCUGCUGUAAAAAGGCAGAUGAAUAAGGACUGGGUAAGACCGGUGCCAGCCGCCGCGGUAAUACCGGCGGUCCAAGUUGCAUCCAUUUUUAUUGGGUCUAAAACAUUCGUAGCUUGUUUUGUAAGUUUCUUGUGAAAUCUUAUGUCUCAAACAUGAGGCUUGCAAGAAAUACUGCAUAACUAGAGACCGGAAAGCGUAAGGAGUAUGAUUGAGGUAGCGGUAAAAUGUGUUAAUCUUAAUCAGACUAACAAUGGCGAAGGCACCUUACGAGUACGGAUCUGACAGUGAGGGAUGAAGGCUAGGGGCGCAAAACGGAUUAGAUACCCCUGUAGUC
rnacentral:rRNA from 1 species